AUUCAGCUUCUUCUGGUGUGCUAAAGUCAUUCACGUUUCUCUUGUGCAUAAUAGAUCUCAGAAACUGUAGGAAUUCUGAUGUACUUCAGUGCACAGAGCAGUAACAAAUGAGCUGCUUUGGGGGAGAGCUGGAGCGCUCAGUCGGUCAGUAGUACAGUAGCAGGCUCACAUGUGUCGAUUGUUUCUGUGAGGUCAGAGGAUGUGUUUAUACUGCUGUCUGCUUGAAGGGAGGUGAUGCGGAGUAUCAUCAUGGGGUCUACUGCUACAGAAACUGAAGAAUUGGAAAACACCACUUUUAAGUAUCUCAUAGGAGAACAGACUGAAAAAAUGUGGCAACGCCUGAAAGGAAUACUAAGAUGCUUAGUGAAGCAGCUGGAAAAAGGUGAUGUUAACAUCGUAGACUUAAAGAAGAAUAUUGAAUAUGCAGCAUCUGUGCUGGAAGCAGUUUAUAUCGAUGAAACAAGAAGACUGCUGGAUACUGAUGAUGAGCUCAGUGACAUUCAGUCGGAUUCGGUCCCCUUGGAAGUCCGGGACUGGUUGGCUUCUACCUUUACACGGAAAAUGGGGAUGAUGAAAAAGAAAUCUGAGGAAAAACCAAGAUUUCGGAGCAUUGUGCAUGCUGUUCAAGCUGGAAUUUUUGUGGAAAGAAUGUACAGAAAAUCCUAUCACAUGGUUGGGUUGACAUAUCCAGAAGCUGUCAUAGUAACAUUAAAGGAUGUUGAUAAAUGGUCUUUUGAUGUAUUUGCCUUGAAUGAAGCAAGUGGAGAACAUAGUCUGAAGUUUAUGAUUUAUGAACUAUUUACCAGAUAUGAUCUUAUCAACCGUUUCAAGAUUCCUGUUUGUUGCCUAAUUGCCUUUGCAGAAGCUUUAGAAGUUGGUUACAGCAAGUACAAAAAUCCGUAUCACAAUUUGAUUCAUGCAGCUGAUGUCACUCAAACUGUGCAUUAUAUAAUGCUUCAUACAGGUAUCAUGCACUGGCUCACUGAACUGGAAAUUUUAGCAAUGGUCUUUGCUGCUGCCAUUCAUGAUUAUGAGCAUACGGGAACUACAAACAAUUUUCAUAUUCAGACAAGGUCAGAUGUUGCCAUUUUGUAUAAUGAUCGCUCCGUCCUUGAAAAUCACCAUGUGAGUGCAGCGUAUCGACUUAUGCAAGAAGAAGAAAUGAAUGUCCUGGUAAAUUUAUCCAAAGAUGACUGGAGGGAUCUUCGGAACCUAGUGAUUGAAAUGGUUUUGUCUACAGACAUGUCGGGUCACUUCCAGCAAAUUAAAAAUAUAAGAAACAGUUUGCAGCAGCCUGAAGGGCUUGACAAAGCCAAAACCAUGUCCCUGAUCCUCCAUGCAGCAGACAUCAGUCACCCAGCCAAAUCCUGGCAGCUGCACCACCGAUGGACCAUGGCCCUGAUGGAGGAGUUUUUCCUACAGGGAGAUAAAGAAGCUGAAUUGGGGCUUCCAUUUUCCCCACUUUGUGAUCGGAAGUCAACGAUGGUGGCGCAGUCCCAAAUAGGUUUCAUUGAUUUCAUAGUAGAGCCAACAUUUUCUCUUCUGACAGACUCAACAGAGAAAAUUAUUAUUCCUCUUAUAGAGGAAGACUCAAAAACCAAAACUCCUUCCUAUGGAGCAAGCAGACGAUCAAAUAUGAAAGGCACCAUGAAUGAUGGAACCUAUUCCCCAGACUACUCCCUUGCAAGCGUGGACCUGAAGAGCUUCAAAAACAACCUGGCGGACAUCAUCCAGCAGAACAAAGAGAGGUGGAAAGAAUUAGCUGCUCAAGGUGAGCCUGAUCUUCAUAAGAAUUCAGAAGAUCUAGUAAGUGCCGAAGAAAAACAUGCUGAGACACAUUCAUAGGUUUGAAACACCUUAAAGGCUUCUGUCAUUUUAAACAUGAGAGGAAAUAUGAAUGUUUACACUGAGUGAUAAUAACAAAGCAAGUACAUAUUAUGAAACAACAUCAAUAUUUGCUAAAAUCCGUGGACAUUUGCAUCAAUGAUUCCCUUUUUAAAAAUUCAGCUUCUACAACCUAAGUGUCCAUCAACAGAUGAAUGGAUAAAGAAGAUGUGGCACAUAUAUACAAUGGAAUAUAACACAGCCAUAAAAAGAAACGAAAUUGAGUUAUUUGUAGUGAGGUGGAUGGACCUAGAGACUGUCAUACAGAGUGAAGAUAAUGAGAACAGCACUAAAAUAUCCUAAAUCCUCAAUUUUCCACAAACCUAUAUUCUCCUCUUUCAACACACACUUGGAAACAGGCCAUUUUAUGGACUCAUAUAAGAGAAGAACAUAAAUUCUGAACUAGUAAUUCUAGCCAAAUAAAUACACUCAAAGUUGCUACCAGAGAUUUUGGCCAGUGCUUUUGCCAUUGCUCUUCUUCCACAAUUUGGCCUUCUUCAAUCAAGCCAGAGAAAUUUUUAAGACAAAAAGUUGGACAGUUUUAAUUUUUCAUCAGUUUGAACCCAGUUACUGCAUAGGCAACUGUGCAAUAUGUGUGCAGAAGAUGAGGCAUUUUAAAAUUUGACUUUCUUGCUUUGUUUUAUACAGAGUGCUGUAACUACAGUAAAUUUUUCAAGAUGUUAAGUAAAAGGAAAGCAAAAACAAAAUUAUAGAAAAAUAUUUUUUGCAGCUCUGAGGCUAUUUAGAUUGUCCUUGUUAUUUUAAAUACAUGGGAACAAAGUGAGAGCCGGGGCUGCUCAGAAGCUGUGGUUGAAGCCCUAUAACAACAAUGGAGCAUCAGAGCCCUGGCUCUGUGACCUGAUGAACUCUUCAUUGUAGCUCUCAAGCUGGGAAACCACAGUGAAACCUGCCCCUGAAAGCAGUGGACCAGCCUGCCUCCAUCCCUGUGAUUUCAAAGCACUAACGCAUCACCUACAUGGGCGUCAUCACAAUGCAAGUCACACAUUAUCUACGAUCCAAGAUGACAAGAACCUCCAGCCACUGUUGGAGACAGACACUAGAACUGAGAAUGGAAUUUGCCUUCUGGGGUGUUGAUCCCAUCAGGAUGUAACAAAAUAUAUCACAGGCCAAGGGAUAAGUGACAAGAAGUGUGUGUGUGUGCGUGUCUGUGUGUGUAUUCAAAAAUGUCUAUGAAAAUGGAAUCCCACACUUUUCUGUACAGAUAAUGUUAUUUGACGUGAGUUUAUAAUUUUACCACACAGAAACAAACUGCAACCCUUGGAGACUCUGCUUCCUUGUCAUGUUUUGCCUGAGCAUGUGCAGAGCCUUGCCUUUGCUCCAAACUGAAGAGCCACAUUUAUUUGUUAUUAGCUGACAAGAAAGGUCAAGCACAAGUAGGUGUUGUAACUUUUCACUGUACAAACUCUUCAAUGAUUGUGAGACUAAGCGAAUAUGUCUUUGUGAAUGGUAGAAUGGGGUGGAAAAAAUUAAGAGUAGCCAUCAAUUAAAGAAAAAAGUGAAGGUGGGUUGUCCAUCCUAAUGAGUUUUCUGUUGCACAUGCUUCUUCCCUGGGUUCCACAAUGCUAAGCAAUAUUUUAGAAAUGGAUGCAAUCACAAGCUUUCAAGUCUAAGUAGUGGGAUUUUAUAACUCACAACUUAGAUCUCUUUUCAUGUGUAAGCCAUAUUCUAUAUGCAUAUUAGGUAUGCAUUUUAAUUUAAGAUAUAUUUGUGCAUAGACUGUGUAUAAGAUGCUUUUAAAUGUUCUGUGAAUAAGUUCCUUAGAUUUUGUUUCAUCUGAAGCAUAUGUAGAACACAGCUAAAUAAUUGAAUUGUAUCAUAGACAUUAUAAUGCAAUUGAUAUUUUAAAUGUAAGCAGUAAAGAUUGAUCUAUAAUGAUGUGUUGGGGGAAAUUUAUAGAUACGUACGUCAUGGUGACUUUUUGUCCUACAAUGGAUUUCUUAUUUAUAUUUAUGGAGAAACUGCAACUACUGCUUUUAAUGUCUUUUUUAAGGUAGCUAUUUACAAGCUACAAAAUAUUCUGCAUUUAAGAUUAGAAUAUGACUGUCAGGGAAGUCUAAUUACUAUUGUUCCUAUUUGAGCCAGGUGUCUCUCAGUAAAGCUAUAGAGUCUCUCAACAGAGAAAUAAAUUGAAACACUGCUUCUUAAUUGUCAUAAGAAACAUGUCCACUUUGUUCCUAUUAAUACUUUAAGAUAUAUAGAUUAUUACUAAAAAAAAUAGAGCAAUAUAAUGAAGUCAUUAUUUUCUGUAUAUGGGGUUUAACCUAAUUUUCCAGGUUAUGUAAUUUAUAAAGCGCUGUGAUGGAACUUCCAGGGGAGUGGAGAAAACUCGCUCCAUCUCUUCAGAAGAGUUGUCACGCUAUUGAUGCACUUUUUUCCCCCUAAUCUCCCUCGUCACUCCCUCUUUUACUCCUUCCCCUCCCUUCUCUCCUGCUCUCCUUUGUAUCUUCCUUAUUCCUUCCUUCCUCUCUCUAAGACAGGCACUAACUCAUGUUAAUUAGCGGGAAGUCAGAGCAGAGGGUACCAGUGCCCAUCCCUUCUGCCAACAUCAGUGUUGAAUCCAUCCUAAAGAGAGGGAUGGAUGAAUUCGGCUGCUGAGCCUUAAAUGGCCUGCUUUGCAUUUGUAUCCUCAGCUACUCAACAUAUAUCUAACAAUUUCAUAUGCCUCUUUAUUUAUCUGGUAUCUCUUUUAUUUAAUUUUUAACAUGACAAGCUACAAUUCUUGUGUUUUUAUUCUGCUGUAAUUCUCUGUAUUUCCUAUUGUAUAUGAUUGUUAAAUAAAUCAUACUUGAGGGAAAAUAUCAUGAACCAUUUGGUGCCUGAUGUAAUUCAAUUUGGUGGGGCAUUGAAAAGUUGGCAAAAUCAGGGAAAACCAGAAGUACACCAUCUUGAAAGUUGAUAUGAGUUCAAUCAGAAAGUGAUUUUUGCUCUAUGAAAGAAAUGUUCACUGAGCAUUUAUUAUUGCACCUAUUAUUUGCAUACUCCUGG